CAGAGUUUGCAAACACAGGAAGAGAGAGCACCUUGGGACUUGGUGGCAUCUGAGACCAUUGCUUCUCUUUGUGGCAUUGACUUAAAAUCAAGCCACAGAGCUAAAGACAACUCCAUGGUGACUGAGGUCUGCAGGAACAUGAUGACUGUGGCAGUGUCUCCAAUCAAAGAGUGACACCCAGACACCCACCCGUCCCCAGGGAGCCACACCUAGCAGGGUGUCUGGAGAGAUGGCUCAGCAGUUAAGAGCACUUGUUGUUCUUCCAGAGGACCAGCGUUUGGCUCCCAGCACCCACAUCAGGUGGCUAACAACUGUCUACAACGCCAGCCUUGGGAGAAUCCAAUGAGUCUGGCUUCCAAGGAGAGCUGUGCUCAUAUGCUUAUACCUACAUGCAGAUACAGACAUAUGUACAUUUAAUAGUAAUAAAAAAUUAAACAUUAAAAACAGUAGUA